UACUCAGGUCAAGACAGAAGCGCCGACGUUGCUUCCUGCGCGUACGUCAACCAAGGGGUGCACCUCUCCAGUCGGCCUGGCAAGUGGAGACAUGGCUCGUGCGGAUCCUCCUUGGCGUACAUGUGCAAGCGGUCGCCCGACGCCUGCCCGGAGGGACGGCUGUGUUCCUACAAAGACUACGGACUCGGCGUCAGUCGAGUGGAGACUUCCUUCUGCGACACUGGCGAGUUACUGUACAAGGACUCUUGCUAUCACUUUGAGG